rnacentral:rRNA from 1 species
AAUGCCUACGGGACGCAGCAGUGAGGAAUAUUGGUCAAUGGACGCAAGUCUGAACCAGCCAAGUAGCGUGCAGGAUGACGGCCCUGCGGGUCGCAGACCUCUUUGGACGGGGAGCAAGGCCGCCGACGUGUCGGCGGAAGGAGAGUACCCGUAGAACAAGCAUCGGCUAACUCCGUGCCAGCAGCCGCGGUAAUACGGAGGAUGCGAGCGUUAUCCGGAUUUAUUGGGUUUAAAGGGUGCGCAGGCGGCACGGCAAGCCGGCGGUCAAAUCGCGGGGCUCAACCCCGCCCAGCCGUCGGAACUGC